CUUGUCUGUAUCUCCUCAAGGUGUAAUAACUGUCCUCUCUGAUAUCCCUGUUUAAAUAGGCGCAGUCUUUUAUCAAACACAUGCUGUUUUUUCUUAAAUUCCUUCCUACACUGUUCUCUUGUAUUCCUAUCUUUACACUGUACAAGUAAGUACUCAGCCUUGCGCAUUACUGACCAUAGAUCCCUUAACUCAUCAUUCCAAUAAGGCUUGUUCGGCUUGUAUUCUUUAUUCACAUUUUUCAGAAUAUAUACUAUCACAAAAUGUUUCAUACCACACAUCUAAAUCAAAUGUUGUUUCUUGGCAUCUUUGCAGAGUUUCGAUGAGUUCCACCAGAGUUCUACAUGCCAUUUCAGAACAUAGAAAGUAAUUUGGCACAUUUCUUUUCUUACAUUUAGGCCUAUGCGGGGUAUGUAUAUUUUGCCCCGUGUGAUGCACACCAAUACCUGGUAGAGAAAGUUUGUGGCCAACAGAAAAUAUCAUAAAUAAGAGAGAGUGAUCAGGAAGUCUACUUUUUUCUCCAAUUAAGUCAAAACAUCCGCAUUCUUCAACCAUCACUAUAGGAGAUAACACCUUAAAUUCCAAGCAAGUUUCUAUACUAGACAGUGAUAUAGUCCACCACAGCUUUUCCUUUGCCAAAUAUGGACGUAAAGUAAUUGCUUAAGGGUCAUAUCCUUCCAUUAAUGAUACACAUUUUAGAGUCACAAAGGAAUUCUAAUAGAGUCACAAAGGAAUUCAAACCGCGAUGGACUAUCAUCAAUAUCAUUUAUAUAGUCAUCUAACCUCCCAAUUCCACUGUUAAGAUCCCCACACAUGUAAAUAGCAUCUGCUUCUGUAUAUUGGUAUACUUGACUUAACAAAUGACUAUAGGAGGAUGCAUCUCUACCCCAUGUGGACUGUUCAGGUGGCAAAUAGCAUGAAAACGCAACAAAGCAAUCUGACUCCCUAUGUUCAAAGCGCAAACCAAUAAUUCCUUCUAUGGCUUUAUCGAUAAGUUCAAUUUUAUAUGCUUUCAUCAUAUCAGGCUUUACACAUUUUCCCACAGCCCCUGGGGGCUUUCACGUGAGUGUUCCUCUUGUGUCCAUACCAUACAUACCCUUCAAUGUCAAUAGUUUCUUGCCUACGCAAAUGCUUUUCAUUUAUUGAGAUAAUGUCUGCGUUUAAGGAUUUUAGUAUUAUUAUUCGUAAUUUAUUGUUCAGUGUAGUCCAUCCGUUAACAUUCCAAUGUGCUAUUGAAAUCAAAUCUCGUAGUGGAUGGGAAGCCCCUCGGUAUGUAGUAGGUCUGUCCAUCCCUUGUCAGCGUUGUCCUGGUUGAUCUCGUUUCAUGACCCGUCCGCUUCCCGUGACAAAAUAGUAAUUUCCUCCUGGUAUUUCUCUCAGCAGCGUCUUGAAGUUCAGUUCUGUCAGGCGAUCAGUGUGACUUGUCUGAUCGAAGGAAGACUGUUAUAAUCAGGACGGUCUCGCAGCUUUUGUUUUUUUCCGUAACAGAGCCACUUUCUCCUCCACAGACCGACACUCCACCUUCACAAUCAAAUAAAAUGUAAUUUCAUUUGACAACCCCGGGACCUUUACCUCUCCAUCAUCCUCUCAGCUGCAAUCACCUCUGUUUCGCAGCCUAGGCCUACCGAUAUCAACUGGUUCACUUUGGAGAUUAGGUCCUCGUUUUCAUCAGCUGGCAGUCCUGCCACUAUUAUAGACACGUCUGGGUCGAAUUUUGUUGCUUUGGCAGCGCCUAUUCUCUCAGAUUAUAGGAUUUCUACACGGGACUCCAGACGUCCAACUUCAAGAGCUGUGUGGUCUUGUAGCUGCUUCUUAUUAUUCUCCAAUUGAGUCAGCAAAGCUGUAUGAUUGUCCUGAAUUACUUUCUCCAAAGAUGCACGUAAACUAUCAACUUUACUAUUCAUUCCUUUUUCAAUACUCAGUUUAAUUUCGUCCAUCUUCCUUUCCAUUUUUGUACCUAGACUCAUUAUCUUCGUCAUGAGAUUAGCCAUGCUAUUGGCACUUUCUUUCUUUGAUAAAUUCGGCUAGAUGCUUUUCUCACCACUGCGUAGAUUUCUACCGGAGCCCAUAUGUUUUAGCGGUUAAGUGUUUCUGUUAUUGCUGUUCACGGUAACGUUAGAUAGCCCGCUAAAUGUAACGUUAUAGCUAGGCUAGCCAGAUUACUCGCCAAACAAUCCCCGACAAGUAUGUCUGUUGACUGUCUUUCACCCUCACCUGGGUUUCAGCUUUUUCAUUUUUUAUUAAUUUGUAAACAUUUCUAAAAACAUAAUUCCACUUUGACAUUAUGGGGUAUUGUGUGGCACAUGUUCGAAUCACCGGCGAUUGCAGCUGUGAGUCUUUCUGGGUACACUGUUUUAAAGUGUCCUUUUUCAUUGAGUCCUAGUAAAACGAGAGCUACAAGAUGUUCGCAAGGGGACUACCCGGUGGAUGUGAUUCUCUACUUUUCAGAUGGUCUACAAUUGAACAAAAGACUCAGUAAUGGGUUGGAGGGUAAAGGAACAGACUGGGUUCGGGUUGACUUAGACUUUGUCUUUGGAUGUGUCUGAUAGGAGCAGAGCACCUGGAUGUGAACAAGGCAGAGGACCAUGAGGCAGGCAGAGCAUGUUAAGAAUUGUCACAGAGCUCUGCUACAACAACAAAGACCAGGGCCUUAUUCACAAAGCAUCUCAGACAAAGGUCCUAGGAAUCCUGAUAAAAAAAACUGUUUUUAAAACCCCCAAAAAUCUCCCAGCUCAGAGUAGAUUUUAAGAGGAUUUUAAGACUGCCCAGAGAAACUCUCAGCUGGUAAUCACGACAGUUUAAGGUACCGCAAAGGAAAGAUAGUGAUGACACUCAUUGACAUUGUUUUUCCCCCAUCAUUUGCAACAAUCGCAAUCAGGCAUCGCCAGCUGUGAACUCCAUAGCACGCUUCAGACAACCACGGUGAAUGUGACUGUACAUGUUAAUGUUGCAAUGGGAAAACGUUUGAUAUAAAUUCACGUGACACAAUCACUUCUCUUAUCGCCUAAUAUAUUGGUAUGCAUAACCUUUUUUUUAACCAAUUCUGAUGGUUGUUAAAAGCAUCAUUUUGACAAUAUUGCCGUUAUAUCAACACACUCGUCACUCCCGUUUAAAAGCUAAUUUGCUUUGGCACGUCGGCCUCAAGUCACUUGCCAAUAAUGUUGCAUACAACUCGUGAAAGGUCUAUCAUUUUUAUCGAACACAAAGUCAACAAUCCCUAGAUUCCUUCAAGUGCCCAAUUUAGGCAUCUUUUUUGUUAACGUGUUAUUGCACUCCAAAGGGAUAACGUGAAAUAACAAUGUAUGUAAUUCAAUAAUGGAAAUACAUUUAUUUAUUAACCUAUUUGUUAUAAGUAUUUAGGCAUAUCAUGUGAAAUCAUUGGUAAAGGCACAAGAGAUACUGUUGUACUGUAGAUCUAGAUCAUUUAUGGAUUGACGAUAUAGAAUUAUAAAAACAAGAACAACUCCAAAGCAAUUGCACGUGGCGCAGGAACCACUGACUCACUGCAUUUUUUGUUGUCGUUAUUGAUCAAGACACCUGCUGGUAACUUAACUGGUUAGGACAGCUCAUGAAGUGUCCUAAAUAUCUGUCCACUAGGUGGGACUUAUGACUAAAGAGGCUUCAUGCAUUGCUUUUAUUUUUUUACCCAUAAGAGAAUUAGUGAAAUGUCUCUGUUCUCAGCACUUAUGACCAAUUGUCUACUCUGAGAUGCUUUGUGGAUAUGGGCCCUGAGCUAGAAUAGUAGAACUUCUGACUAAGCAAAAAAUGUAUUCUGUGGAAAAACAAUUGAAAUGUCAUGGAGUAUAA
rnacentral:lncRNA from 1 species